rnacentral:rRNA from 1 species
CGGACGGGUGAGUAACGCGUGAGUAACCUGCCUUACACAAGGGGAUAGCCGUUGGAAACGACGAAUAAUACCCUAUAAUGUUACUAUCUCGCAUGAGAUAUUAACCAAAGUGUUAGCGGUGUAAGAUGGACUUGCGUCUGAUUAGCUAGUUGGUGAGAAAAAAGCCCACCAAGGCAACGAUCAGUAGCCGGCUUGAGAGAGUGUACGGCCACAUUGGGACUGAGACACGGCCCAG